UUAAGUUUCUGGGUAGAUCAGGGGUUACAAAGAGUUACUACAAAUAUGGGAUAAUAUUAUUAAGGAGCAGUUAUGAAGUGAUGCUCUGGCAUUCUUAAAUUAGUGUUAUGCUUACUAAUGUUGAGAGAGACCCAGCAUGAGUUUUGUGAUCAGCGAAAGGACUGGUGCAGCAGAGAUCAAAUAACAUAUUUUAUAGUCUGCUAUUCAAUAGAUCCAACUCUGUGAACAAGAUACUUAAGUUGUGUCUGAUUUCAAUAUUGUUCUGAAAGAAUAAUGGUGAGGAAAUAAUAGCACUUUUGUAGUAGUAAUGGUAUUAGAAAUAUUAGAAGUAUUUAGAAGCAGUAACAGUAUUUUUGUUCGUGUCUGUAUGUAGAACAAAUGGGUGGAAACAAAGGAGUGAUCUAUGGUGCUGGAGAAGGUUUCAUAUUAUGUGCUGAGCAGCACUCUAUGACGAUGUUUGCUAUUUGAAGGUAAUUCAUAGCACAGUACAGAUUUAGACUCAGUUCUAGUGUGAAUUUAGCUGGAUAGUGUGUACCUUUACUUGAGUAUAGUUUUACUAUUCAGUCUAAUUUUGUUUGUUUGCUUUCAGCUUUGCAUAAUUAAUUAAAAAGUCUGGUUAAUGCAAGAGAAACAACAUGUCCAACUGUUUCUCACAGAUGUCAGUUGAAAUGAGCUAUCAAAUUAAUGCCAUAUGACAAUGACAGUUUUGUAAAUCAUCCUUUGACCUGAUUUGCCUCUGAAAGAGUUUAUGCCAAAAAUAUUUAUUCUAAUAUAGGCACAUACCGACCAUUUUUAUCCCACCCACAAGCAAUUUAUCCUCGAGUCUUAAUGUAGAAAAACUAUUUGGAAUUAGUUGGAAGUUUUGCUUGAUAGAGGAGUCUAGUUUUGACUGCUAAACCAGCCAGUGCCAGAAUCUAAUUUUUACUGUUAGUAUAAUAUAUUAUUAUAUUCUCUCUACUACUACUAUCAGCAAUGUUAAUGAUAGCUACUGAUUUCCUUCUGUAUUAUUAGGAAUAGGGAAUAUUUGUAAUUGUUUUCAACAAGUAGAAGCUUGAGGUCACGGAUCAACCAGUGUACUGUGCAAUACACUCAUGGGUCAAAAUUCUCAUUUAAUAGCAAAAAGGCUCUGAAUUUUUUUUUCAGUGAAAUUUCCAUGUUUCUUUCAGAGUCCUUUAUUCCUAGUAAAGGAAAACAUUUUUUAAUUAAGCAGAAGGAAUGUAAUCAUGGAAUUGUUACAUUUCUUUUAUGGAAGCUAAAAAAAUACACAGUAUAAUUAAAAAUAACAUAUGAUCAUUAAUGAAAAAGUCAUUGUCUGUCCCUGAUGCCAGAAUUCUUGCUUGACAAGAAAGAGGGAAGAAUCUGGCAUAUUAAAAGAAGCUGUUUAUUGGAAAAAUAUUAAAAUAUACUAGAAGUUUCAUUUUCAUACAUUAUAUGAUUUAAUACCAUCCUACAAAAGAAAAGAAAAAAAUGUGUUUGUACCUUUUUUUGAGUCUUUAGGGUGAAGAAAGAAGGCAGGAAUUGUUUGGCAGAUAUUUUAGAUUGUUUGCUUUAAAGUUGGGUUUUGUGCUUGUUUUUAACUGAGAACUAUCAUGAAUAAGAAACAGUUGUUUCUCUGUUUUUUUUCCUGGAGGAUCCCUUUGUCUCAAGAGGACUAGAAAGGAAUCUUUCACAAAGAUUUUCUCUCAGUUGUGGUAUUGCUGAUGUCAAGCAUGCAAAAAUCGUGAGUCAGCACUCCAAAAGUCACGAGACUGCAUUUUAAAAAAAGUGAUCUUGUAAAAUAUAUAUGUGGCACUCUUUUUUGAGCCUUUAUGGUAAAUGUAUGGCAUAUUUUUAUACUUUUUCUGCAAACUGAAAUCUUAUUUUUCAAAACAAAACAAGAAAAAAGAAGAAACAGAUGAGCUUUCUCAAAAAUUUGCAUGACUCCCAGAAAUGGGUGUCUGAAGAAUGUUUGAAACGUUACAAACAUUGCGACGUAAUUGCAGGUGUUGGCAACAUGGCAAUUAUUUGUGAGAACUUUGAUCUAAAUUGAGGUCAAUAAAAACAAAUGAAAAAACUGACUGAAAGAAAAGCAAAGAAACCUUCCUUUGCAUUUCAGAAGCUUGGGCUGCUGUAAUACCAUUUGUUCAGCAGUCCUCCCAAGAAAUCCUCCAGCUCAAAUUCAGGAGAAUAGGCCUCAUGUAUUUAAGGUUAAAUAAAAAGACAUAUACACAUCUGAUUACCAGAUACAAGAUAUAGUCAGAUAAUGACAAAUAACACUUUGAUUUUGGCAAAAAAACAAUAGGCAAACUAGUGCAGAUGCUGCUGUUACAAAGAUAUAAGACCUUUACCACAGUUUAAAAGACAAAGACUAUUUGAAUCUAACAACAUGGUUUCUGGCCAGAAAAAGCUACAAUUAUUUUUAAAAAUGUCACCUCAUUCACAUUCAAUGAUCACAGAAAAUGGAAACAUUUUAAGGAGUAAUUGUAAACAUCUGCUAAAGAAAAAACGAAAACAUGACUAAGACAGAAAUGAGUGCCAACAUAAAGUAUUGUGUGAACAGAUCCACCAGAAAAACACCAUUUCUGUGGAUGGAUUCUAUUUGGAAUGUGAAAAAAUUGAUGAUUAUAAAGAAGAUCAGAAUCCACCUAAAAAACAUUUCACUUUAAGUCAGUCUGGCCGUCUACUCAAAUAUCAAGGAAUGUGGCUACACUUGCAUUUCUGCAGCAGCUUCGGCUCCUGCUGCUUCUCCUGCCGUGUUCCAACAGAAGCGUGUGCACAGGCACAGUGAACUGGACUCAAACUAAUCUAACAAUUUUAUUCCUUUCUUUUUCAGCUGGGUUAUUUUGCAACUGGAUCAGUUAGGAAAAAGUCAAUGGCAGUGCGGAUGGUGAUGAUAGCUCAUACAGGAGUGCUGCUAGCUUUCUAACCAUUGCCUUGAAAUACCGAUUUCAAACUUUGGUGCUGUAAUGACAACAUAAGUGAAAGAAUGCCUGCCCUUCUGCAGCACAGGGGGCAACACUGGAAAAACAAAUACCUGCUGGCAAGGUUGAAGAACCCAAAACAAAACCUAUUUCCCAGCUCUGGAAUCCCCACUAUUGAUAGAAGAUGAUUCUGCAUAAAGAAUACAGGUUCCUUCAACCAUGCUUCUUUUCCAGAUCGGAGAUGAAAGGCACAGGUGGAGAGUCAAUUGCCUAACUGUCAUAAGGCUAAAUAUUUUUUCACUUGCUUAAGAUGUAAUAAGUCCUGGAGUGCUCUCUGCUUACACAAGUGGAUUUCAGCGCAGAAGCGUGCUCCAGAAAGGUGUUUGUGUAGAAGAGGGGAAAAUUCUGCAGGUUAAAGUCGCUAAAUGAAAACCAACUGUUUGGUGGGCAGUUAUUCUCUGAAGUUGACUGACAGAGGAACCCAUUUAUGAAAAAGGAAACAAUAGAAGUACAGCAUCACAACAGCAGCAGAAACCAACUCACUGGAGAUGGCAGAUGGACAGCACACUAGUAGUUAUGGUUAAUAUUUAGUCAUUCUCAAUAACAGCUUGUCCCAGUGUGGGGAGGAGCUGGAAAAUACCCAUGAGUGCUCUCGUCAGCUGUGGUUAGCUCAACAGAGGCCUCUGCUGAGCAAAUAGGAACUGCCCGAGACAAGCUCAAAAACACACCAAGCAUCUCGCCUUCACGUACCUUUAUAAGGACCAUGUAGUACUCCUCUUACAGGCAAUUUUGUGAGGAAAGAAAAUUCCAAAGGGACAGAUAAGUGUGAAUAGAUCUGUCUUAUUUCUAUGGAAAAAAAAAAAAAAAUCAAGAGCUGUGCCUUAUGAAAUAAGAAUGUUCACACAUGGUUUGCAAUUAGAGAUGAUUUUAUAUAUUUUGCUGUAAUUUUGUUUAUUAAAGGUUCAAAAGUUAUUUGAGCAAUUGUACCAGAGAGAAUGUGAUUUGCAGUAAGAUUUAAAGUAUACCUUUGGAUCAUUUCAAACUGUCUUCUGUCUUUGUUUAACUGAAUAUGCCAUGCUGAAACUGAAUCAAACCAUUGAUUUAUCAGAAGUGCUUUAUUCUUCACUCUAGAUCUAUGCAGAUCUAAGCUAUAAACCAGGAAAGCAGUAAAAAGUUGCAUUUGUAAAUAUUUUAGAGAAGACUGUUGUUCUGUGGAGCUUUAUGCUGUUUUCUCUGGUGCUAUUGAGUGCUUUGUAGAAGCUCAUUUGGGAAAUGUAUUCUUUGAUUUUGGUAAUCAAUUGAUCAACAUUUGAAGCUUUUCUCAGACACACAGUUAUUGUGAAGAGCAGUACUUUCAAAUACCCAUUUGAUUGUGUUUGUGAUGCUUGCUUUAUUCGACUCUGCUCCAGGCAAAUUAAAAUGUACUGCUAUAUAAUAAGUAUGGGAAGGUUAGCAUUCACACUUUAGGGAUAAAACAUUUUGACAGUUCUAUUCUACAUUUGCAUUUAAAAAUUUUAACGCUUUUGAUUAGACCCUAUGUUUAUCGUAGGAUCUCUUGUAGGCAUUACUACUGUGAGAUUGUUACCUUUUAGGAUUUGUUCUGGACUGCUUCUCUGUGGGGAAGCACAAAAGCCUGCUGGUUCCACAUACAUCUUGUUUUCUGGUCCACAGUAUGUCUCAUUUUCUUUAAUUUCUCAUGGGGGUCCAACUGUACCGCUACUGCUGAGUCAUUCUCAUUUCUUUCUGAGGUUUUUUGAUGUGCAGAGUUAGGGAAAGACAUAUGCAUAGGUCUCUCUUACAUGCUUGGUAUAUUUUUCCUACUGGUCUCCAAAUUCUCAAUUUUUGGUGCACAGUAGAAUCCCCAAGGGAACAGAGGCAGACAUUGUCUGGAGAGAGACAAGAGAUACUGCCACAACAUCCAUUAUUUUUUUAGCCAGUGGACAGGUGAUACUUAAACACAGCAUAUGCACAGACAAUGGUGAACAUUCUGAGCUCAUGAAAACCAUCACUGACACAGGCUGAUGUCUGAAGGACUGGUCACUAGAACUGUCUGUAUUAUUUGCUCCUCUUUUAUUUUAUCCUUCGUCUUUCUGUAUUAGUAACGUUCAGGAGGGAUUCAGAUAACCUGAUGGAACGUCUACAACAUUGCUAUCACCAAGAAACAUUCACUGAGGUAAUAAGGCAAAUGUACACUGUCUCAAGAGGUUUGUGUGUAAAUUAGACCCAGCGAUAGGAAAAAAAAACCCAAACCAACAAACAAACUGGCUAGUUAAGUUACUUCAGACUUUUCAGAAGAGCAGAGAGAAGCAAGAAAACAUUGUAGGUUUUACCAGGAAAAUGUAUUUGAGCUGAAAUAAGGUCUUCUCCCUGAUAGUUUAGCCAGUCCCUAGAGGCUUUGUGUAAUUAUUAUUAGAUUUACCUUGAGAAGGAUAUGGACUUAGGUGGUACCAGAAAUCUUGUGUGGUGAAUUCUCCGGGAACUCCUUCCUGCAUUAGGCCCCAUUACUCUGGCUCCAAAGCCCAGGAAACUCAAACACCCUCAUAGACUGCUGCUCUUUUCCAUACCUCCCUUCACUUCUGGGAGCUGUUUCUUCUGUAUCUGCAAUAAAUAGCAGAGAAGAGAAGUACUAUGGGGAUUCAGACAUAUGAUAUGUACAAAGUCAUGCUUUCUGAUUGUGAAGGGGACCACAAGUAAAUCCUCCCUGUGCACCCACAUUGGAUCUUGCAUUGAAAAACAUCAAAAUCUGAACUAUACAGAGGCUAUGCAGCGCUAUGGGUAAGUACAUUGGCCUUUCACGUCUUAUUAUGUUGUUAAUUAGUUAAUGUUUGUAAAGCACUUUGAAGAUGAAAAGCCCUAUAUAAGUUCUAAGUGUUAUUAUCUCUAGAGACCUGGGUUCAAUUCAAAGGUGCUUAAUUACAUAUGCCAUAAAUUAGACUUAAUGAGUUGUGGAAUCAUAUGCUUUAUGUGAUGCAUGCAGGCUUCUCAGCUAGAUCUAGGCCUUAUAAUCUGCUGCAGUACUUCUUUAGGUAUUCAGAGCUGUUAAGAAAAAUUACACAAAAAUAGAGCAGAUAAUUUCUAAAAAUAAUCGGACUGCACUUCAGUACUAUUUAGGACUUGGUGAAGCAAAUUACCAGGAGCUUUGCUCUGCUGUAUCUAGUGAUUUUUUAGUAACCAACUUCAAAUUGCUGAAGGUAACAUCAUUGUUUUUAAAUUGUGGUAUAGACAUGAUUCUAACUUUUACUUCUGUCCCAUAUUUUGAUUUAGCAGAAGGGAGCUGAGAGAUAUUAGUAUGACUGCUGUCCUUCCAGUGAUGCCCUGAAAUGUCCCAUCAGGGCUGGGGACCUCUUGGUAUUGGGUUAUGUUCACAAGCAUAAGAAAAGAAGUUCCCAGCUCUAGAGAUACUAUCAUAUAAUUUACAGCAAACCAUUACAAGCGGGUAAGUGCAAAAAGGGGAAGUAACGGUUAUAGGAAAAUGUGGUUUCAUUGGCUUUGCAGAGCUGAGAGUUUCCAUGUUAUGUAACUUAUAUAUUUUGUGGCCAGAAAGCUACAGAAUUUGCCCCACUCAAGCCCAGGCAUGAGGGUGUCUGUCCAGCAAUGAGUACAGAUAGCUAGCUGCUCCUGGUUGUUCCUCAACCAGCAGUGUUCAGAGACGCAGAAAACCAGCAGGUUCGUUCUCCUGUCCUAAAGUGGCUCCCACGUGUUCCUGCAGCAGAAUAUCUCCAUUUUACCUUGGGCCUUUCACAGGCACAGAGAGAAGCAGGAUUUAUCCUGCGUAUAAAUAUGUUAGAAGUGAUUGUGUUCAUUAGUACAACCUAAGUAGAUUGGAAAAACUAAUUAAUAGCAAUUUACUAUAAGUGUCUCUAACAGACUUACUUGAAAGUAUUUAUCCUGAAGUGAAAGUCAUUUGAUUUUGUUAAUGUUUAUUGUAAGCAUAUGCAGACUAUCUUCCAGGGGAAAAUGUAUUUUUGAGUACUCCAGACAAUUGAAACUAGUGAGCCCACUGUCUGGAGAAAGCAUCUGUAACCACAGCCAAAAGAGGAACGAGAUUUCCGACAUUCUUUCAAGACAUGUGUUUGAAGCAUGGGUUCUCACCACUUUCAGAGUGACUUGCAGGCCAUUUUCUUUAUAUAGAUUUAGACAAGUCAAUGUGGUCCUAGAUUCAUCUUGAUAAAUGCCUUUGUGAUUUCUCCCUUGUCCAUUUUCUCCUGUGUUAUUCUAUUGCUUAUUUCAAAUAGGACUCUGUUCUCAAGAAACUUUAAAUGGGACAAAGCAUAGUUUUGGACUGUUUUUUACCGCUCACAUUUCUGUAUUUCUAAGAAAUUAAUCUAGUCUUAGACCUUAAUUACUGGGGUGCAUCUCCUUCAAAAACAAGAUACAGUUUUGUUGAAUACUUUUCAAAUACUCUAAUAAAUAGGAACUUCACAUGAAUGCUGAUUUGAGUUCCAGGCUGUGGUUAAACGUUUUAAUAGUGUAGCAUACUUAUCAGCAAACCUUUCCUUCCCCACCCUACCCCCUUCCCUUUUUACAAUGAACAGAUUUUUAUCCGACCAGCUCGUGACUUGGGGAUUUUUACAAGCAGGUUUGGGAACUUGUCCAAUAUUUUGAAAUUUGAGCCUGAAAACAACAACAACAAAAUCUUUGAAAAAUGGUGUUUUAAAUAGUGUGUAUCAACUGGAUAAAAUUUUGACUUGCUGAAGUGCACACAGGAUUCUGUUGUCUGACCUAACUAUCGCAACUGGAAGUCACCCGUCUGAUUCCUUUUUUUAAUACUCCAAGACACCAUAUAUACUAGCGUAACUCCAUUGAGGUACCAAAUCAAUGGAGCUGUAAGACCCUCUUCAUUUCUGAACUACUAUAGCCUUUUGUCAAAAGGCGGUAAGAAUAUUCACAUUGUUAUUAUUUCAUCUGGGCAUUUUAAGUCUGUCUCUUUUCCUCCUCUGUUUCCAAGAUGUUAGUGACUGACAUACUCUAGCAGUGAUAUCACUCUUGCUUAAACAUCAGUGAAGAAGCUAUCCAAGCAACUGAGAAUGUUGUAAGCUCUAGCUGCUGCGCUGAACUGCCUGUUACAGAGACAUCGGGCAGGAGGAACAAGCAUACAGCGUUGUGAAAGCGCUUUUUUACAGCCAGGCCUCCAACUCUGACCAAGUGUGCUAAUGGCUGAUAAGGGUGCUCUUUGAGAAAACAAUUCAUGGGUUACAAGAAGCAUUAAAUGUGCAUGGAGAAACAUCUUGGUGAGUUAAUACCCAGUAAAGAACUCUGGUCACUUGGCGAUUGUGUUUGUUGACCCAGUUAGGAGUUUUACAAAAACAGUCACCAUCCUUUUGACUUGUGACUUCCCCAGUCAUUUUCCUGUUUAAGUCCCUAAUUUAACAAAGCACUAAUCUGUCUCUCUCUGAAAGUCUUUGACCAUGGAAACAGUGCUCAUGAGGUCUGGGAGACUUCUGGAUCAUUACUGCCUCCACCUUCCUCUGCCUGUCUGCGAGCAAGGGGUUAUCACAGGUCAGCUGCAGAACAGAAGGUGGGGCAGUAAGUUGUGGUGUAAGCACAGAUUUUAUACUGAUGUGUCUGAUUUUUAUACCAGCCUGGAUGAAGAGCAU